UCCCUGGUGGUCCAGUGGUUAAGACUCUGUGCUCCUAACGCAGGGGGCACAGGUUCAAUCCCUGGUUGGGGAA